rnacentral:rRNA from 1 species
GAUGAACGCUGGCGGCGUGCCUAACACAUGCAAGUCGAACGGAGUCCAGCCUUUAAGACCUUCGGGUCAAAGAGGGGAAGACUGAGUGGCGGACGGGUGAGUAACACGUGGGCAACCUGGCUCAUAGAGGGGGAUAACAGAGAGAAAUUUCUGCUAAUACCGCAUAAGCACACACUGCCGCAUGGCAGAGGGUGAAAAGAGAAUCGCUAUGAGAUGGACCCGCGUCUGAUUAGCCAGUUGGCAGGGUAAGAGCCUACCAAAGCGACGAUCAGUAGCCGAUCCGAGAGGAUGAACGGCCACAUUGGGACUGAGACACGGCCCAAACUCCUACGGGAGGCAGCAGUGGGGGAUAUUGCACAAUGGGGGGAACCCUGAUGCAGCGACGCCGCGUGAGUGAAGAAGUAUUUCGGUAUGUAAAGCUCUAUCAGCAGGGAAGAUAAUGACAGUACCUGAAUAAGAAGCCCCGGCUAACUACGUG